CAUAAGCUUGGUAACUUCACAAACAUUUGUACCAAACUCUUUGAAUUCAAAGCGCACCCUAUCUUCGAAUUCAAUAUUGUUGUCCGAACAAAAUGUUUUACAUCCUUUUACAAUCUUGACAUUUUUCAAAUGUGUAGACGGAUAUUUUAAGUGAACUUCUGAAUUGGAUUGGUCUGGUACUCCUAGAAUGAGCAUAUGAAAAUUGAAUCGCCGACCAUAAUCAUUUAAUGCAGUCGGUAAGGUCUACAAAACCCAAUUUUAAAAAUUAUAUAAUGUUAGUUUUACAUGUAAUUAAGCAUAAUAAAAAUUGCAAAAUAAUGAAAAUAAACUUAAAAACAUAGCUUACAAUCUGAGUUGGGGUACUCAAGUUUAGGUGACCAACGCUGAAUUCAAAUACAUAUGAUUUAGGGACUUGACGACCACUGGCCAAUGUAGUGAAGGUCUCAUAAUAGACAUUAU
rnacentral:lncRNA from 1 species